CAGGAAGAUAGUGUCGCUCACGAAAAGCAGAUACCCACUGCUCUCUUCCUGAUUUUAUAUAAAUGG
rnacentral:sRNA from 1 species